UACAGGGGGGGCAAGCGUUGUUCGGAAUUACUGGGCGUAAAGGGCUCGUAGGUGGCCAACUAAGUCAGACGUGAAAUCCCUCAGCUUAACUGGGGAACUGCGUCUGAUACUGGAUGGCUUGAGUGCAGGAGAGGAACGCGGAAUUCCAGGUGUAGCGGUGGAAUGCGUAGAUAUCUGGAGGAACACCGGUGGCGAAGGCAGCCCCCUGGGCUAACACUGACGCUCAUGCACGAAAGCGUGGGGAGCAAACAGG
rnacentral:rRNA from 1 species